rnacentral:rRNA from 1 species
CCUACGGGAGACAGCAGUGGGGAAUAUUGGACAAUGGGGGGAACCCUGAUCCAGCGACGCCGCGUGAGUGAAGAAGUAUUUCGGUAUGUAAAGCUCUAUCAGCAGGGAAGAAAGAAAUGACGGUACCUGACUAAGAAGCCCCGGCUAACUACGUGCCAGCAGCCGCGGUACUACGUAGGGGGAAGCGUUAACCGGAAUUACUGGGUGUAAAGGGAGCGUAGACGGCGAUGCAAGUCUGAAGUGAAAGGCGGGGGCCCAACCCCCGGACUGCUUUGGAAACUGUAUGGCUGGAGGGCAGGAGAGGUAAGUGGAAUUCCUAGUGUAGCGGUGAAAUGCGUAGAUAUUAGGAGGAACACCAGUGGCGAAGGCGGCUUACUGGACUGUAACUGACGUUGAGGCUCGAAAGCGUGGGGAGCAAACAGGAUUAGAUACCCUUGUAGUC